rnacentral:ncRNA from 1 species
CCACGCGCGGCGGGAGAGUCCGGAACCGCCCGCGGAGGACGGGACCGGCGCCGAAGGAGCAACUCCUCCCCGGGAAUCUCUCAGGCCCCAGAACCGCCGCGAGCAG